rnacentral:sRNA from 1 species
CACCGGGAGGAGAUGGAGCGGGAGCUGGAGAAGAGCCAGCGGUCCCAGAUCAGCAGUGUCAACUCGGAUGUUGAGGCCCUGCGGCGCCAGUACCUGUCUUAUUGCGGGUAAAGGAAUCAGAAAUACAGUACCUGAAACAGGAGAUUAGCUCCCUCAAGGAUGAGCUGCAGACGGCACUGCGGGACAAGAAGUACGCAAGUGACAAGUACAAAGACAUCUACACAGAGCUCAGCAUCGCGAAGGCUAAGGCUGACUGUGACAUCAGCAGGUUAAAGGAGCAGCUCAAGGCUGCAACGGAAGCACUGGGGGAGAAGUCCCCUGACAGUGCC